rnacentral:lncRNA from 1 species
GUGUCCUUGGAGCCGUAUCUUCGCGGUACCUCCUAGAGCUUCACCGGCAGAGCACCGUGUCAAACUUCUGAAUUUUUGCCAGUCGGAUGGAGGAGAAAUGGCACCUCAGCCUGGCCUCCCUCAGCAUCUCUCUUAUAUGAGCAAAGUUAAUGCCUUCUCAUGUAUCCAAGGACCAUUUUUGCAACCUUUUGGGGAAACUGUUUUUCUUGCCCUUUGCUCAUUUUUCUCCAUGAUUUUUGCGCUUUUGUUUCUCGACUUUUAAAAAGUUCCUUGUAUAUGAAAGCCAUUCACCUUUUAUCAGUGAAAGCACGGGCUCAUCAAGAAGCUCUGGUUUUCUCCUGCCCGGACCCUCCCACGGAGCCUGCGGCCAGGAGCAGAGGCCCAGAGAGGUUCAAAAGCUGGCCCGAGACGCACAGCAAGGAAGCGUAAGGAGGUGUUGGAGGCGAACGAACUUCGCGCUCUCUGCUGCGCUGGGGCAGCUGGGAAUUGCACUCAGCCAGGGCCCUGGGUCCUUUGGAGGGGACCCCGGCUCCCAUGGCUCUGAGCACUGCUGCUCCUUCGGACCAGGAGGAAGCCAGCAGGAAGCAUGUUGGCACAGCCUCGGUGGAAGCGAAAGACCACACGCUGGAAUCCCAAAGCUUCAACUAUUCAUCAGCUGCCCAGUGCGCCAGUGGCGGUUCGGAGUGGCUGUUAACCUGGCGUUGACGCUAAACCUGGAGCAACAAGGACCGAAAUUCAGCCCAAACGACUGUUGGCACCUCCCCCUCUGAGGUCUCGUGGAAAUUGGAUGAUCAAUUUUUAAGUGGCUUUAAUGAAAUAUUAGUUCCUUCUCCUUUGAAAUCGAUUUCACCAAAGCCAAAGCUUUAGAUCAGGUGAAAUCGCUCUUGGAAUAUGCCAGAGACAGGAUCCACCAACAGGCAGGUCUUCUCCGCCACUGACUGCCGGGAAGUGUCAAAGAACUGGGAGCCAGAGAUGGUUCUAUGGUCUCGGGAGGGAGCAGGGCCCAUGCUUUCCUCACCAGUCCCUGACUCAGGGGGUGGCAGUGAGUGCCAGGGAGUGACUGGCAGCGUCCCGACAGAGUGAAAGAAUGAGCGAAUGAAUACGCACGAAGCCAGCCUGUUAGGCUCCAUCACGGAAAUGCUUGCUUUGCCUCCAGGGAGUCAGCUGAAGACCCAGUGAAACAAAAGCUUUCCCAGGUGACCCUGGGAACCCCUGCGUCUCCUCCGGGGGUCCCGGACCUGGUGGGGGAAGCACACCAACGCUCCACCUGCUGGCCCCCACCCCGACCCAGGCCCCCGGGGCAAUGACGAUGGCAAGAACAUCCGCCUCUGUCUACACAGCAGAGACCGACACGGUCCUGUCCCCCGGAAGCGCAGGCGAAGAAGGAAGCAGGCGGCGCCCUGCCAGGAGAGGCAGAGCAGGGAGGGGCUUCUGCCCAGAGGAGUUCUUUUUUGGGGCGGGGGGGGUGUCACAAAACUUCUCCCGUGAAGUUUUCCCGAGUUCUAACCUUCUGCCGGGGGGCAGGAAUACCAGGUAAGGUGUGCGCCAAGUGCCAAGGCUGGAGCGGAGGCAGGGAGAGGGAGGGCACCCAUUUCCAAGGACACUGGGACUGUGACCUUGAAGCCAGUCCGGUGUGGGGCCUCAGGUGAUUCAGGCCCGCACCCACCCCCCGCCCCCGCCGUGGGAAGUGAGGGGACCCCUGCCAGAGGCAGGAUGCUACAUCUGGGCUAAUUCAGAAGAAGGAUGCAGGUUCACCGGGCAGGGCAGGCUGGGGGUGGGGGCAAGGCCAGCAUGCACUGCGUAUGUCCCAGGCAUCAGGGCGGUACUAGGGGGUCGACCAGACUUGUGCCAUAAGCUCACUGGAGAGAAGCAGCCUCGACUGCCCCACCUCCCUGGGGAUGGAGAGGCAGCUGCCACUGGGUGCAGGUGUUAGCUGGGUUGCAGGUGUCCCCACACCCACCGGGGGAGCCCGGCUGUCCGGUUGCAGCUGGGAGUGGUGGGCCAAGUGGGAGGGCUGCUCCCCCCACCGACUUGCUGACCAGCCACAGGCCAGGGGGCUGGAGCCGGGGGGAGGAGAGGAGAGGCUGCUGUGCCUGGGCUGGGGGUCAACCCCACACAGGGGCUGGGCCCUGAGAGCCCCGGUCAGCGAGCGGAGCCCUGGGAACUGUGCUCAGGGCUGCGGGAGACGUGCACAGACCCCCAUCAGCCUCCUCGGGACCCGCUGCCAGCGGAAGGCAGCGUCUGGUUUUUCCUUUUCUCUUUACAAAGAUAAACCGCUCCCGCUGCCGAAAUGUGGGAAAACGAAAGAAGACAACGGACACGAGAAUCACCUUCACGGCACCCAGCUGCACGGCCGCGGCCGUGGACGUGGCAGAGGCGGGGUCCCUCACAGCCGUGACCGGGGUGGGAGGGGACGAGACUCCAGUGACUGGAGUCAGGUCCUCUUGUCUUCAGGUCACAAAUGAUUGGCAAAAAGCCAUAUCGGGGCUCGACUCAUACGGUCAGAAGUGCAAAUGCAGGGAAGGCGAGGUCGCUGAGGCCGGCUGAGACCCCAGCUAGCUCGGAGGCCACCAGUGGCUUGACGACAGGGGCGCGGGGACCCUGUAGGGUGAGUCUGGAGAGCGGGCGGCGGUGGCCCCACUGCGGACAAGCCAUGGGCACCCUGGCUCAAGGCUCCCCCCAGACCCGAGUGCAGCCCAUCCCCGGAGACCCUCCUCUGGCUUGACGGGGGAAGGUGGGGGUCUGAGGCCCUGGACCGGCGGGGGAUGGCAGCAGGAGCGGUUCUGAGCGGCCUCCGGAGGCCUGGGUGGGGGCUCGCGGGGGAGAAGUCGCCCCCGCGUCACGUGCUAUGGGAGCCUCCCCGCUUGGCAUCGUUAUAACCUUUUUAAUUCCCUGGGAAAAAAGACGUGAAAGCCACAUCAGCUGGGCCGUGGGCUGAGGUUUAAAUGUGAUUGAAACUGCGGCGUGACUGGGGAGAAGGUUGACUGGUCUGCACAGCCUGCCUGGCUGGGUUUUAUGCCCACUGGACUCUGCCCUCGGAGGGAGUCAGGUGAGCGAGGCCGUGGUGAGGAAGUGGAGGCUGUGCGCCCAGACUAGGUCCGCCCUCUCUGGUCCUCGUUGAAUCCGGGGGUCCAGGAGCUAAGGAAAGGCGUGUCUUCACUUCUCCGGGUCCCGCAGGGGCGGCGUCGGGGGAUCGGGGGGCUGCCCCAGGCCUGCGGGCUGUUCAGACACAGCCCUGAGACCCACCUUCCCCCACGGCCGCCCCCCAUGGCCAUGUCCACCUGGACGGGGAGAUCUGGCCUGGAUGGGGCGGGGGCAAGGGUGCCACUUUCAGCCAAGUAGGACGACUGAUGGUUACACUGUGGGCCUGGCACUUGCUUCCCCAGCCGGAAGCAUGUCUGUGCCGCUUACCGCUCGGCCGCGACGAGCCUCAGCUUCCCCUCUGUAGAGUGGGAGUGGGGGCCCGGCUCAGCUCUGAGCUUGGAUGUGCUAGCCCUGGGGCCCCGCCCGCCUCGUCUCCCUUAGUCACUGUGGUCCUUGCUGAGGGCCUGGCGGGUGGGGAGAGAAGAUGGGGUGCUGGGCGGGGGCCCCUGGAUGUGCCGACUGAGGCCGGGGCCCCCAGUGCACAGUCCCGCCUUCCAGGCCCCCAGCAGGACCAGCAGCCAGGCGUCCACUCACACAGCCCCAGGCAGACGGCUGGACCCAGAGCCGUCAUUUUUCUUCAAAACGCCUUUUCCAGCAAGAAGUCCAAACACGAGGACGCCAGCCUGAGCUGACACAUUGUGGUUGUGACACGUUUUAAAUAGCUUUCACUAAUUGUGCUCAUUGCUCAUCUCUUCCUACCAUUUCAUAAAUUGCAUUUAAUUGUUUUGGGGUUGCUUCUUUAAAAAUAAAUUGUUACCUAGAA